CCUACGGGAGGCUGCAGUGGGGAAUAUUGGACAAUGGGGGGAACCCUGAACCAGCCAUGCCGCGUGUGUGAAGAAGGCCCUCGGGUUGUAAAGCACUUUCAGUGAGGAAGAACGCCUGGUGGUUAAUACCCAUCAGGAAAGACAUCACUCACAGAAGAAGCACCGGCUAACUCCGUGCCAGCAGCCGCGGUAAUACGGAGGGUGCGAGCGUUAAUCGGAAUUACUGGGCGUAAAGCGCGCGUAGGUGGCUUGAUAAGCCGGUUGUGAAAGCCCCGGGCUCAACCUGGGAACGGCAUCCGGAACUGUCAAGCUAGAGUGCAGGAGAGGAAGGUAGAAUUCCCGGUGUAGCGGUGAAAUGCGUAGAGAUCGGGAGGAAUACCAGUGGCGAAGGCGGCCUUCUGGACUGACACUGACACUGAGGUGCGAAAGCGUGGGUAGCAAACAGGAUUAGAUACCCCAGUAGUC
rnacentral:rRNA from 1 species